rnacentral:rRNA from 1 species
AACGAACGCUGGCGGCAUGCCUAACACAUGCAAGUCGAACGAGACCUUCGGGUCUAGUGGCGCACGGGUGCGUAACGCGUGGGAACCUGCCCUUAGGUUCGGAAUAACUCCCCGAAAGGGGUGCUAAUACCGGAUAAUGUCUUCGGACCAAAGAUUUAUCGCCUUUGGAUGGGCCCGCGUUGGAUUAGCUAGUUGGUAGGGUAAAAGCCUACCAAGGCGACGAUCCAUAGCUGGUCUGAGAGGAUGAUCAGCCACACUGGGACUGAGACACGGCCCAGACUCCUACGGGGGGAAGGAGUGGGGAAUAUUGGAAAAUGGGCGAAAGCCUGACCCAGCAAUGCCGGGGGAGUGAUGAAGGCCUUAGGGUUGUAAAGCUCUUUUCCCCGGGAUGAUAAUGACAGUACCGGGAGAAUAAGCCCCGGCUAACCCCGU